UAUUUUCCAUCAGUUUUCUAAAGUCCAAGUAACCCUCCAUUCGAUAUGGGAAAGAAACAAAAAAGAAAAUUAGUGGAAUGGUAGAGAAGAAAAUUAGUUGAUAAGAAAAAUAUAUGCACGUUGAAAAAAAAAAUUAAUUGACCUCUAACCUAACCACAAAUAUAUACCUGCAUCAACAUAGCAAAUAAGUUGCAAGAAAAUAGAAAAACUUACUUUCAGAUUAAUUUUCAUUAAUAUAGUUAUUAAGUUAUUUGUAGCUUCUUCACCCUUUAUUCCUAAGAAAAAAUGGAUUCACCUCCUAGGUACCAAGAGAUAAGUUAUGUGGAACAUGUUCACAAACGCCAAGAAGAAAAAGGAUGCAUUUAUGCUUGCUUGUUUACCUUAUUAUGUUGCUGCUUCUGCUGCUAUGAGACAUGUGAAUGUUGUUGCUGCUGCGCUCCUAGAAGAAUGACUAGAAUGAUAAAGAAAUUAAUAAAAUCAGUUUUAUAAUCCAAAUUUAAUAAUGAUUUUUCUAUGUUAAUUUCUAUGUAAUAAUUAGAAAUAAAAUAAAGAUGCAACUUUUCUAGUAUGUUACUUUUGACUUUGCCUUUGAUUUUUUUUGUAAAUAUACUUUAUGCUUAAGGAAGCAUAGGCCUAACUUGGCCCCCUUUUUUCAUCUUGAAAUAUUUUUACUUAGUGUGAAUUACUAUGGUGAUAAUAAUUAAUUAAGAGUGAAAUGAACAAUAAACAUGAGACAUUUGUUGUA